ACCCAGACUCCUACGGGAGGCAGCAGUGGGGGAUAUUGCACAAUGGGGGGAACCCUGAUGCAGCGACGCCGCGUGGGUGAAGGAGUGCUUCGGCAUGUAAAGCCCUAUCAGCAGGGAAGAAGAAAUGACGGUACCUGAGUAAGAAGCACCGGCUAAAUACGUGCCAGCAGCCGCGGUAAUACGUAUGGUGCAAGCGUUAUCCGGAUUUACUGGGUGUAAAGGGAGCGCAGGCGGCACGGCAAGCCUGAUGUGGAAGCCCGCGGCGCAACCGCGGGACUGCAUUGGGAACUACCGGGCUGGAGUGGCGGAGAGGUAGGCAGAAUUCCUGGUGUAGCGGUGAAAUGCGUAGAUAUUAGGAGGAACACCAGUGGCGAAGGCGGCCUACUGGGCGGUGACUGACGCUGAGGCUCGAAAGCGUGGGGAGCAAACAGGAUUAGAUACCCCAGUAAAC
rnacentral:rRNA from 1 species